UUGGCAUGCAAAUUGUUGCCUGAUUGCUUUGAGGCACUUCAAGGCUCAUUGUGCAACUUUCCUAGCUUAGAGUUGCUCUUUUUUUUCAGGCAACCCCCAACCUUUUAAUGAAAGAUGCCAUUAGUAACCAAGUUCUAUCUUGAAGGUUCCUUCUAGAAUUGUUCAGUGGUCAGACCUUAGAAACUUAUGUAUGUAUGUAUGUAUGUAUGUAUGUAUGUAUGUAUGUAUGUAUGUACUUUCAAAGAUUAUGCAUAUUUACAUGCAGAUAUAUGGAGAAGUAAGUGUGCACUAGCUAAUAAAACACUGGAAGAAAGUUUUGAAGGCGACCAGAUCUGUAUUGGAUUGUAAUACAAAGCUAUAAUUUAAGGUUAAUACAAAACUAAUGCUUUAACAUCAAAAAUAAGCUAAAUAUGCUAGUGUGUGUCUGUAUUUCUAGCAUGUGAGAAGUAAAGGCAGGUAGGUAUAGGACUUUAGAGCUCAGGUACGUGAGACCACAAUCUCAAACAAGAAAAAUAAAGAUGCAGUAGUGGGGGUCUUUUUAAAAGUGCCUAAAUUUUCCCCCAUCCUUUAGUUUCAGUGAGAAUAUUUGUGAUAUUCCCAAGAUUCUAUAUAGAAUAGAUUUUUUUUUAAAAGAGUUGAUAUGAUUACAAAUAACUUUCAGACUCGUCUGUAGUUUUUACUAUUUGCACUGAAAUUAACCUUUGCUAUUUUAAUUAGGUUUGCAAUGAGAAUUCCCUCUUCAAAAGCCUUUCUCGCUACUUAGUCCGUCGAAAGGAUCCAGAAUUGUGGGGUAGUGUGCUACUGGAAAGCAAUCCAUACAGAAGACCGUUAAUUGACCAGGUAAGAAUCACAAAAAUGUUUCCAAUCAUUCUUACUUGGAAUACUUUCCUAUCAUAUAUCCAAAUAUAUUUAAAUGGGUCAUAUUUAACUAUAACAGAAGGC
rnacentral:lncRNA from 1 species